AUUGAACGCUGGCGGCGUGCCUAACACAUGCAAGUCGAACGUGAAAGUUCCUUCGGGGAUGAGUAAAGUGGCGCACGGGUGAGUAACACGUGGAUAAUCUACCAAGAAGUUUGGAAUAACAGUUGGAAACGGCUGCUAAUACCGGAUAAGCUGGCCAUGUAAUUGGUUGGGAAAGGGGGCCUCUGCAUAUGCUCCUGCUUUUUGAUGAGUCCGCGUCCCAUUAGCUAGUUGGCGGGGUAAUGGCCCACCAAGGCAACGAUGGGUAGCUGGUCUGAGAGGAUGAUCAGCCACACUGGGACUGGAACACGGCCCAGACUCCUACGGGAGGCAGCAGUGGGGAAUAUUGCGCAAUGGGCGAAAGCCUGACGCAGCGACGCCGCGUGAGGGAUGAAGGUUCUCGAAUCGUAAACCUCUGUCAGAAGGGAAGAACAAGCAUCGUGCUAAUCAGCGAUGCCCUGACGGUACCUUCAAAGGAAGCACCGGCUAACUCCGUGCCAGCAGCCGCAGUAACAC
rnacentral:rRNA from 1 species